rnacentral:rRNA from 1 species
UACAGAGGUCUCAAGCGUUGUUCGGAUUCAUUGGGCGUAAAGGGUGUGUAGGUGGCGCCGUAAGUCGGGUGUGAAAUUUCGGAGCUUAACUCCGAAACUGCAUUCGAUACUGCCGUGCUUGAGGACUGGAGAGGAGACUGGAAUUCCUGGUGUAGCGGUGAAAUGCGCAGAUAUCAGGAGGAACACCGGUGGCGAAGGCGGGUCUCUGGGCCGAAAUUGACGCUGAGGAGCGAAAGCGUGGGGAGCAAACAGG